UGAACUCACAAAGAUUUGCUUAGCUCUGC
rnacentral:piRNA from 1 species